rnacentral:tRNA from 1 species
GGGCCGGUGGUCUAGUGGUAUGACACCGCCUUGACGUGGCGGUGGUCGCCGGUUCGAUCCCGGCUCGGCCCACCA